rnacentral:misc_RNA from 1 species
GCAAACUUGGUCAUUUAGAGGAAGUAAAAGUCGUAACAAGGUAACCGUAGGUGAACCUGCGGUUGGAUCAUUAAAGAAUUAUGAUUUGUUGGGGUUACGCGUUUGCCGCCCCUUCAACAUCAUUAUCACCUUUUUGUGAACAUUUCGUGUAUUUUGGCAGCCCAACGAAAACCGUCUGAAGUGGAGAGGAAAUUCUUCUCUCUCUUUUGGGCGUGGGCUGCCAGCUGUUUGUGCCAACACUUUUGUUUAUUGCUUGUGUACGUCAUUUUGGUUUAAGCCUCUUCACGAGGCUGUAAAACACAAAAUUGAAAACAACUUUUGACAACGGAUCUCUUGGCUCUCGCAUCGAUGAAGAACGCAGC